rnacentral:rRNA from 1 species
UACGUAGGCAGCAAGCGUUGUUCGGAAUUACUGGGCGUAAAGAGUGUGUAGGCGGUGCUCCAAGUCUGGUGUGAAAUCUCCCGGCUUAACUGGGAGGGUGCAUUAGAAACUGGAAUGCUAGAGGAUGGGAGAGGUAAGCGGAAUUCCUGGUGUAGCGGUGAAAUGCGUAGAUAUCAGGAGGAACACCUGUGGUGUAGACAGCUUACUGGACCAUUUCUGACGCUGAGACACGAAAGCUAGGGGAGCAAACAGG